GCCUGGAAUAGUUCAGCUGGUUAGAGUGUGGUGCUGAUCACGCCAAGGCUGCAGGUUCAAUCCCCGUAUUGGACA